AAUAGAUACCCAGGUAGUCCACGCCGUAAACGAUGAGUGCUAAGUGUUAGAGGGUUUCCGCCCUUUAGUGCUGCAGCUAACGCAUUAAGCACUCCGCCUGGGGAGUACGGUCGCAAGACUGAAACUCAAAGGAAUUGACGGGGGCCCGCACAAGCGGUGGAGCAUGUGGUUUAAUUCGAAGCAACGCGAAGAACCUUACCAGGUCUUGACAUCCUCUGACAACUCUAGAGAUAGAGCGUUCCCCUUCGGGGGACAGAGUGACAGGUGGUGCAUGGUUGUCGUCAGCUCGUGUCGUGAGAUGUUGGGUUAAGUCCCGCAACGAGCGCAACCCUUAUCAAUAGUUGCCAGCGGUUCGGCCGGGCACUCUAUUGAGACUGCCGUUGACAAAACGGAGGAAGGUGGGGAUGACGUCAAGUCCUCAUGGCCUUUAUGUCCAGGGCUACACACGUGCUACAAUGGCAAGUCAAAGCGCUGCAAACCUGCAAAGGGGUAGCCAAUCGCAAAAACGCUUGUCUCAGUUCGGAUUGGU
rnacentral:rRNA from 1 species